GUAAAAUUUGAUGAUCAGUGGGCAAAAUUAUGAACUGUGUGGACUUGCUUCUUCAUAAGAUGGAAUUACUGGGCUUCUCUCCAAUGCUCUUUAUUACAACGCAGAGAGGCCAGCAUCGCUCCACAAAAAACGUCAACGUUCAGAGGCAUCAUUCAGUACCAGUCAUGCAGAGACUUUAUGAGGCUGUUAUUGUGAUGAUGCAUUUCCACAGUUAUUAACAUGCCUAUCCCCUGUAUGUCAUCGAUGCGCUACUUCAAAGAUGUGAGGAAAAGAACAUACACCUGCGAGUAGUCUGUUACAUUGCCUGUGUUAUUGCCUCACAUUUGCAGAAAUCAGGUGAGGGCAUAUCACACAACAUUGCCUUGGCCGUACCAGCAUUUCAUGUUUAUGGACACAAAUUGCCCUGCCAGAUCAAGUACAGUACCAGAUGGCUUGAUGGGUUUGGGCUCACAGACGGGGAAGGAAUGGAAAGGCUGUGGUCUUUCCUCCAAAGAUUUGCCAGAGUCACAAAGGAGAUGACUCCAUCUCAUCGCCUUGACCUACUGAUUGAUGCCCUUUUGCAUUAUGGACGGAGGAAAUCAACUGACCUAGAGGUGCAGCUCCUGCAAAGAGUAGACAAAGCAGAGAAAAUAUUGAUUCUUGCUCAAGAAGAUAUCUCAUGUCAUCAGAGAGGCAUCAGUGUUGAUUUCUGAAGGAGACAUGGAGAGAUGGAAAAAGCUAGCCCAACAGAAACCAAUAAACACUGUCUGUAGAUGGAAAAGGGACUACAUCAUCAGACUGAUUCAGUUCUACAAGUUCAAAAUUGAGGACUCUGCUGAACAUUGAGGAAAAAAUACCGUAUCGGGAGAAGAUGGCAAGAGUCUGAUUCAAACUUCCAGUCUACCCUUAAAGAUGUGGACCGUGAGCUCAGAGUCCAACUGCAAGGCUAGAACUGUAUCAAGGGAGAGAGCAGUCGUCCUCCACCUGAGAAGAAUAUAUCCAGCUUUGCUUUAGAUGGGCAGGGCAAUGCCAUUAGACUCUCCAAGCAGGUAGCCAAUUGAUUUUCAGGAAUCAUGUGAUCCCUCUUGGCAUGUCUACUUCUGCUUUAAUGACACUAUUGAAGAAGAUGAUGUUUCGAUGAGUCUAAAAAGGCGAGGGAUUGAUGCCUUACAUAUGAAGACUCGGGCAGCUGAGGAAAAGUGCAUGCUUUACCAGGAAAUGAGAAGUCUAAGCGGCCAGUCACACCAAAAGCGUUUAUGGCAGUUGCAGGCGCCUUUUUUGAAUGAUAUUCUAUCGGCAGGGCGCGUUUGCGCGCUGUUUAUGCGCGCCGAGCGCCUUGCGUUUUUGAAGGAGCGCUGAGAGCGGAGAAGCGCCGACGUCAUUCGGGUCUUUCCAUUGUCCAAUCGAAUGAGGGGAGAGGCGGGCCUUACGUUGUGGUGAGUGAAGUUUACAGUUGCUUUGAAGAACCGGACUCCACUCGCUCACUCUCUCCUUCAUGUUUGUGCACCUCUCACCCCCAAACAAGGUCAGAGCAAGUGUCAUCUUUUUAAAGUUUCUGUUAAUAUGACAGUUAACAGCAAAAGAGCGCUCACGCUUCAAUAUUUGAUUGACAAGACAGCUGACUCGGUGGUUGCUUAGCAAUAUGAAAAGCCGCGUCGCACUGCUCUUUUUUUCGCGCCUUGCGUUUGCAAGCGUUUAAAGCGCUUUUGGUGUGACCGGCCCCUAACUGAACACCCCAUCAGCAGCAGGCCUCUAACAUUUGUGCUCUAACAUCAAAGACACUGAGCAGCCUGGUGCAAAAGCUGCUCUCAUUCAACACCUCCAACACCUGGAAAGAAAACUACAUCAAGCCAUUGUGAUGUUUCACCCACAUCUAUCGGACAUUGUUCCUGCAGACAACCCCCACUUGUGUCAGGCCCUCCCCAUGCCAAGCAUACAGACACUGGUAUACAAUGAUAAGAGUGAUAAUGAUGAAAAUGUGGAUAAAUAUGAUAACUAGCACUACAGAUUUUUUGUUAAUUUCUAGUCUGAUAUUGUAUUCUGUAAAAAGAAAGAUGUAAAAUGGUUAGUAUAUGUUGCAGCAUAUCAUAGAAACCUUUAUGGUGGUGUAAUAUAAUGUUCGCCUUACUUGUGCAAACAUGAUGUUUUACUAGGUCUGAUUUAUUUUAAAGCGUAGGUACUGUUUUUAAGCACACAUAUUCACACUAGUCUGUGUGAGGACAAAAUUGUGUGUUUACCAUGUUACUUAUUUACUGUAAUGUACAAAUGUGGUCAAUGUGUGUAAGGUGUUUUGUUUUUGAAUCCUUUGAAACAAAUACUGUAAAAGUUUGUAAAAAAUAAAAAGUUUUCCACAAUGAGUUAUAAUCAUGAUUUCAGCUAUUGUCACAGCACACUUUAGAGGUAAAUGAAUUGUGAUGAACUUAAUAAAUGACUUAUGAUUUAUUUUACAGUCAUAAUCCACAAGACAGACUGCCACAUACAGUAUAACCAUUAUUGGCUUAAAAUUCUCCCGAACUAAGUUGAUGUGGAUUAAUACUUUUUUCUUCCCAUUAUAUUACCUUUAGUAUUAUAUAGUUCGUUGCUAUGGUGGUUGCUAUGAGGCUGCUAUCACUGAAA